UAAUGCUAAGGUCAAAAGCCUGAAACCACGAUGUGCUUGCACAAAAGUGGUUUUAUGGCUUAAUGACCUGCACCGAUAUGAGCAUAAAAGUGGAGCGUAAGCUUCACGAUAUGCGAAUGUCGGAUAGAAUUGUGAGAGUACGAAGUACGGAACAAUUCUUAAGGCAUUA
rfam:Firmicutes bacterium CAG:56 genomic scaffold, scf468